rnacentral:rRNA from 1 species
ACGGGAGGCAGCAGUCGGGAAUAUUGCGCAAUGGAGGAAACUCUGACGCAGUGACGCCGCGUAUAGGAUGAAGGUUUUCGGAUUGUAAACUAUUGUCGUUAGGGAAGAUAAAAGACAGUACCUAAGGAGGAAGCUCCGGCUAACUACGUGCCAGCAGCCGCGGUAAUACGUAGGGAGCAAGCGUUAUCCGGAUUUAUUGGGUGUAAAGGGUGCGUAGACGGGAAAUUAAGUUAGUUGUGAAAUCCCUCGGCUUAACUGGGGAACUGCAACUAAAACUGGUUUUCUGGAGUGCGGGAGAGGAAAGUGGAAUUCCUAGUGUAGCGGUGAAAUGCGUAGAUAUUAGGAGGAACACCAGUGGCGAAGGCGACUUUCUGGACCGUAACGGACGUUGAGGCACGAAAGUGUGGGGAGCAAACAGGAUUAGAUAC